UGGACAGGGAAAGGGUCGUAGAGUCAAUGAGGGCAAGUCCCACUUGAAAUACUAUUGAAAUCAGGGUACUGGAAGGAAUAAGCAGGAAAGAUAGGAAUAGGAGCCUGGAAACUGAGAUUUACAGAGAGGUGGCAGAUACUGAUAAUGUUAGACUGUGACCACGGAGUGAGUGACUGAGACGGGGGAGAGGUCAAAGUCAUUGGAGAGAGAGGCCAGAAUGUCACUAUUAUCCCCCUGAAUAUAAAAAUGUCCGAGAAUUAAGACUGAGGCGGUGUGAGGGGUGACAACAAGAUUGGGACUAACACCUCUGAGGAAAGAACGGGAUGACCAAGGUGACUACGGUGACAGGUGACUGCAACAAGUGAGGAUUCUGGUCGGUGUGUCUGACGGCAAGAGCCUCAGAGGAGCUGAGGGCUUAAAGGCAGGUGAGAGGGUCAGGUGUUCGUAAGGAAAUGAAGAGUGAGGAGAUGAAGUGCCUCAGCUUUCGGUCCAUGUGGAGGCAGAGUGUCAGAAAAAUACCUGCCACUUGUUAUGGCUGCAGGGGAGGCAGUGCCUUCAGGGUAUGGCCAGGUUUCAGUUAGAAGAAGAAAGUUAGAAGGAUCAGUACGAGGAGAGGCUAAGGAUAAAGGGGACUGGGGUGUGUUCCGGAGAAUGCACUAGAAGGGUUUAGGAAGAGAUGAGGGAGGGAGUCCGGUUAGGGGAUAUGCGGAGGUAGAGAGCAGGAGGAUGGUGUGCCUUCCUGUACGGUGCGCUGUGACGCUUGCCCACGUUAGCGCGACAGCAGAGCCGGGCCCACCGCUCAGGGCUGAGGGCCUGUGGCCUUGACAUGUCACCUUCUGUGCACUCAGAAAUCGUCGUGUAGCUCUGCUGGUUGCCCUGACACAGGAUCUUUGGGUCCAUCUAGAGCUGGGGGAGCAAAAGGGAGAUGGGGGGACACAGAAGGGGGCUGGCCCAGGGCACUCCUGUCCCAGCAGGGUCACUAGAGCCCCUCCACUUGUUUAUUCACUCAGUAAACCCUCUUGACCCCUCACCGUGCUCCUGUAUGAUGCAGGUGUCAGAUUGUGCCAGAUCCCUGCUGUCAGGGUUCUCAUGGUGAGACUUGCAAAUACGUGAUCUAAUGCGAUAGGGGACAGGUAAAGAGUUUGGUUUCAUUUAAUAGUUUAGCGUUUGUGUGUGUGUGUUUUAUGUACUAACAGAACAUACACACAGAAUUCUUUAAAAGGCAAUUGGUAUAUGGAUCUGGAGCUCAGUGGGAAACACAGGAUAGAAAUACAGGUCUGUAAGUUUGGAGGGCUUGUGGGCGGUGUCCAACAAGUGAUAAAUACCACCCUUCUUCUUCACUUGAGUUCCGAAUCAACCAGAAGAUGAAAGGGGAGAAAGGUAAAAAUCAGAGUGGAGAAUGUGGCUCACACCUGCAGAGGAGAAGCAUCUACAAUGCCGGAUGCCGGAAUUAGUUCUCCACCCAGUGACAGGUGAACUCUCAGGGGCUGCUACUGCUAGGCCAGGCCUUGGCCAUGAAGCUUAUGUGCUGGGUGCAAUGAUGGCACACAGUGCUGAGACAACAAGGGACGUGGUGAGCCAAGCAUACUCAGCUCAUUCUUCCCAAAUUUAUUGAUUUAAUAACUGUCUUGGCCUACCAAGGGUUCAAGGAAGUGAGAAGAGGGGAAGGGACCAGGAGGGAUUCACUUGUGGGGACAUUUCCACAGGGAAGGAGUUGUCAGGAGUGGGAAGAAGCAUCUUCCCUUCCCCUCCUCCCUUAAUGAAAUCAGACAAAUAGAGGGCACAGACUGUGAGGAGAAGGUGCCACAGCAGGAACUCAGGGGCACUAGAAACCAGGAAAUGGUGAGUUGCGAUGGCAAGAGAAAGAAGUCUCUCAUUUAAAUGACUAAACCUGGCCCUGCCUGUCAUUUAAUGUGAUGAUAUUAUGUUAAUACAAUUUUAUUUUUUAAUGCAUGACUCUCAGUGUUUUCAAGUGUUUCCUAUGCAUUUCCUUUUGAUUAAUACUCAGCACUUAGAAAACCAGAAGAUAAGAAGUACUUUACUGCUGUCUUGUUGAGGAGGCCACUGGAAUCCAGAGAACCCAAAUAACUUAAUCAAAAUCACUCAGUCAGGAGAAAGCUCAGGCCUGAACCCUGGAUUCUGACAACAGGCCCACAGACAGCACUCUCUCUAGGCACAUAGCUGGAAAAAUACCUGUGGAUAACCUCUUUUGAGUCUGUGGCUCUUUAAAAGCAGGAUGGCUGCAACGAUCAUCGGUUAUUAGCUAUGGCUCCUCAGAUACUAAUAGCACAAUCAGAAAGAAAAUGCAAGGUCUUCUAUUCCUAAGAGUGAAAUAAUUGUAAUAAGUUAUCUGUAUGUUUGACAUUAGGUACAUAUUCCUCUCACUGUGCCGUAAUUGGGUUCUUUUGGGCUCUUUAGUACAGGGGGAGAUUCAAAGCUGAGCCAUGUUAUAUACAGUAUCUGAGGAAACAUGUAUUUAGCAUCAGGGCUAAGUUGCGAUUUGUAUGGCAAUUUCACCUAACAAUUUAAAAAUAGCAUUUCACCUAAAGAAGCUGAACCUUAAGGGUUUUCCCCCCCAAAAGUGUACUUGUCCCUAGUCUGUCGCAGGACUCCCUCCAACAUUCCCUAGGCCUUAAUUAAAUAAGAGCAGGAGAGAGCACUGGGCUUGGGUUCAGGAUAAAUAUCCCCGGCUUGAACAGGAGAUAUUGCUUUAAUGACUUGGAAUAUGUCCAGAAGGCUCAGACUGGCUAGCAGGGAAAGCUGACAGCUACUGGAUCUCACAGCAAUAACAUUCUAACCAAUUAAAAGCUGAGCUAGAAAUAAUGGUUUGUCACUGAGUGGUGUUUCGGAAACCAAUUGGUCCAGAUUAACCAGAGGAUUAACUUUUCUAACUGAAUUUAAAGGUCACGGGAAGCUGACUUUAAUGAAAGAAAGAGAAAAGGCAUUCAAUUAGAAGGGGAAAACUUACAUAUAGAAAUUAGGUUAACAGAUCUUGCUGUAUUAUUUAUAGACAACUAACCAAACUGCUGUCUUCUUUUAUGGCAGGGGUUCAUGGUCAAGGAUAAAUAUGUUCAUUACAAAAAAGAAAGUUGAAUGAGAAAUCAAGUAUUUCUAAAAGGAUUCCUCUAUUGGAAAGGGCAUACGUGGGUUUCCAGCCUCCACAAGUGUGUUCAUUUUGUAAAAGGAUUCUCGCGACCAAAGGCCUGACCCAGCAGGGACCUCCAGGACUCCAAAUCGAUGCUGCAAGUGGUGCCCACUCUUAAAGGGGCAGCAUGCAGCUGAGCAGAGUGGUGUUUGUUCCACUUUUGAGACCCGGCUGAGCUGCAGUGGAUAUACUGUAUAUUGGAAUGCCGAAGUGAAUUACACAUGAGGCACCCUGUCUAAAGUACAUGGAGUUUACGGAAUUGCCCAGGCUUUCUGGGACCACCAAAAUGAGGGAAAUAAAGCCCAUCAAACUUUUUUUGAAAGCCACUGGAGAGGAAUAACAUACAAAAAGCUACAAGAAGACGGAUGAGAAAGUAACAUGCUUCUGGCAGCGUGUUAUCAAUUGGGAGGCAACAGUGCAUUCCCUCUAUGUGGAACAGUGAGCUGGAACCGACACUGACAGAUGACACGGCCCUUUGACAGUGAUGCCUGUAUGAGCUGACAGCUCCACUCGCAGUCAGUCAAGUCCACACUUUGCAGUGGAAUUUUAACGGGCUUGAUUUGCAGAAUAUGCGUUGCCUACUCCUCAGCUUGUAGUGGAAGUGGAUAAAAAUUUCAAAGCAUUCACAUUAAAUAGUGGAUUCUAGGAUCUCUUACCCAACUUUCCUUUCUCAUCAAAACUAAGAGCAAUAAAACAUAGUCUUGAAGAAAACCUGUAGGAUAUCUAGGAAAGGAACAAGUCUGCCCUUAAAAAUGAAGUUUUCUAUAAAUCAAAGGUGAUUCACAUAUUAGCCAAAAUCUCUCAGGAAGGACACGAUGCCAAAUUUCCCAGGGUAAUUAUAACUUUAUCAUAAAAAUAAAAGUGUGUGUGCGUGUGUGUGUGUGUGUGUGUAUGUUCACGUGUGUGUGUAUGUGUUUAUAUCCAGAUCAUAGUGAAGGGACUAAUUUCAUGAUGUUUUUAAAACUUACUGAAGGUACUGAAAAACUGCUUCCAAAUAUUAGAAAAUAUUUUCCUUAUGGGAAUUAGUCAGACUCAAUCACUUCCAGGUUUUAGACCAUGCUUUUUUAUUAUAUCUUUUUUGCAAUCUAUUCUGUUUGAACAAGACAUCUGCAUGAAGCUGA